rnacentral:rRNA from 11 species
GAUCCUGAAUAUUCUUAAGACACAAGGUUCUAUCUGUUGUCUGAUCUCAAAAGCUAAGCACAGCCAGGCCUGGUUAGCACUUGGAUGGGAGACCACAAGGCAAUUCCAGGCAUGUAGGUUUG